UUAAUGUCAUAUGACUGACGGAAGUGGAAAUAAAACCACAUGGAGUAUGACUUGUAAAUUAUGCCGACCGUCUGGGCAAACUGC
rnacentral:ncRNA from 2 species